CUCACAUUAUCCCCCCUCCCUCACUCUCACCAUCACCCCUCACACCAUCGCCCCCUACUCACCAUCACCCGCCUCUCCCUCUCACCAUCACCACCCCCCAUACACACGUCAAGCAGCUACCCCAUACACAUAGAGUCUCAGACAAAAACGCAAACAUGCUCACAGAGACAUACAUUUACACACAAGGAUACUCUCUGUAAGACACACUCUCAGCAGGGACGUUUUAGCCGCGAGGCAAACAAG